GACAGACUUAAAUUGUUUAAUUUCUACAUUAAAAUUUAUCUUAAUUCAACAUCGAGGUCGCAAUCUUUUUUAUCAAUAUGAUCUCUCAAAAAAAAUAACGCUGUUAUCCCUAAAGUAAUUUAAUUUAAUUUCAUUAAUAAUGGAUUUAAUAUUUCAUAAAUUUAUGUUAAUUAAAUAAAAAAAUUUAAUAAAUUUUUUUGUCACCCCAACAAAAUAUUAAUAUUUAAAAAAUUUAAAUUUUAAAAUUAUUUAAAUAAUUAUAUAAAAUUUUAUAGGGUCUUCUCGUCUUUUAAUAGUAUUUAAGAUUUUUAACUUAAAAUAAAAUUCAAUUAAAUUAUUUUGAGACAGAUUUUAUUUCAUCCAAUCCUUCAUUCCAGACUUAAAUAAUAAGACAAAUGAUUAUGCUACCUUUGUACAGUUAAAAUACUGCAGCUAUUUAAAAUUCAUUGAGCAGAUUAGAUUUAAAAUUAAAUUCAAUAAACCAUGUUUUUGAUAAAC
rnacentral:rRNA from 1 species